rnacentral:tRNA from 1 species
ACCUAAGUAGCUUAAUUAGAGCAUAACAUUGAAGCUGUUAAGGAAAUCUUAGAUUCUUGGGUA